UAGGAUAUCCUCAAGUCUGUUGGU
rnacentral:siRNA from 1 species